AGUGAACGCUGGCGGUAGGCCUAACACAUGCAAGUCGAACGGCAGCACAGUAAGAGCUUGCUCUUACGGGUGGCGAGUGGCGGACGGGUGAGGAAUACAUCGGAAUCUACUUUUUCGUGGGGGAUAACGUAGGGAAACUUACGCUAAUACCGCAUACGACCUACGGGUGGGAUCAGGGGAUCUUCGGACCUUGCGUGAUUGAAUGAGCCGAUGUCGGAUUAGCUAGUUGGCGGGGUAAAGGCCCACCAAGGCGACGAUCCGUAGCUGGUCUGAGAGGAUGAUCAGCCACACUGGAACUGAGACACGGUCCAGACUCCUACGGGAGGCAGCAGUGGGGAAUAUUGGACAAUGGGCGAAAGCCUGAUCCAGCCAUACCGCGUGGGUGAAGAAGGCCUUCGGGUUGUAAAGCCCUUUUGUUGGGGAAGAAAAGCAGCAGGUUAAUACCUCGCUGUUUUGACGGUACCAAAAGAAUAAGCACCGGCUAACUUCGUG
rnacentral:rRNA from 1 species